rnacentral:rRNA from 1 species
AUUGAACGCUAGCGGGAUGCUUUACACAUGCAAGUCGAACGAGUGGCGGACGGGUGAGUAAUAUAUCGGAACGUGCCCAGGAGCGGGGGAUAAAUACUCGAAAGAGUGGCUAAUACAGCAAACUAUUGGAGCGGCCGAUAUCGGAUUAGCGAGUUGGGGGGGUAAAGGCUCAACAAGGCAACGAUCCGUAGCUGGUUUGAGAGGACGACCAGCUACACUUGGACUAAGCCACGGCCCAGACUCCUACGGGAGUCAGCAUUGGUUAAUGUUGGACAAUGGGGGAAACCCUGAUCCAGCCCUCCCGCGUGUAUGAGAAGGCCUUCUGGUUGUAAAGUACUUUUGGCAGAGAAGCGGUAUCUGCAGAAUAAGCACCGGCUAACUACGUGCCAGCAGCCGCGGUAAUAC